AAAUCAUGAUAAGGACAUUUCCUUAAUAACUCUUUGAACUUUUCCCAAGUUUCAUACAAAGAUUCCCCAUCCUCUUGAGAAUAUGAAUUAAUUUCAGUCAUUAAUUU
rfam:Helianthus annuus linkage group 2, whole genome shotgun sequence.